rnacentral:rRNA from 1 species
UACGGGAGGCAGCAGUGGGGAAUAUUGCACAAUGGGCGCAAGCCUGAUGCAGCCAUGCCGCGUGUAUGAAGAAGGCCUUCGGGUUGUAAAGUACUUUCAGCGGGGAGGAAGGCGAUGCGGUUAAUAACCGCGUCGAUUGACGUUACCCGCAGAAGAAGCACCGGCUAACUCCGUGCCAGCAGCCGCGGUAAUACGGAGGGUGCAAGCGUUAAUCGGAAUUACUGGGCGUAAAGCUCACGCAGGCGGUCUGUUAAGUCAGAUGUGAAAUCCCCGGGCUUAACCUGGGAACUGCAUUUUGAACUGGCAGGCUUGAGUCUUGUAGAGGGGGUAGAAUUCCAGGUGUAGCGGUGAAAUGCGUAGAGAUCUGGAGGAAUACCGGUGGCGAAGGCGGCCCCUGGGACAAGACUGACGCUCAGGUGCGAAAGCGUGGGGAGCAAACAGGAUUAGGAUACC